GACGAACGCUGGCGGCGUGCCUAAUACAUGCAAGUAGAACGCACAGUUUAUACCGUAGCUUGCUACACCAUAGACUGUGAGUUGCGAACGGGUGAGUAACGCGUAGGUAACCUGCCUGGUAGCGGGGGAUAACUAUUGGAAACGAUAGCUAAUACCGCAUAAUAUUAAUUAUUGCAUGAUAAUUGAUUAAAAGGUGCAAUUGCACCACUACCAGAUGGACCUGCGUUGUAUUAGCUAGUAGGUGAGGUAACGGCUCACCUAGGCGACGAUACAUAGCCGACCUGAGAGGGUGAUCGGCCACACUGGGACUGAGACACGGCCCAGACUCCUACGGGAGGCAGCAGUAGGGAAUCUUCGGCAAUGGACGAAAGUCUGACCGAGCAACGCCGCGUGAGUGAAGAAGGUUUUCGGAUCGUAAAGCCCUGUUGUAAGAGAAGAACGGGUGUGAGAGUGGAAAGUUCACACUGUGACGGUAUCUUACCAGAAAGGGACGGCUAACUACGUGCCAGCAGCCGCGGUAAUACGUAGGUCCCGAGCGUUGUCCGGAUUUAUUGGGCGUAAAGCGAGCGCAGGCGGUUAGAUAAGUCUGAAGUUAAAGGCUGUGGCUUAACCAUAGUACGCUUUGGAAACUGUUUAACUUGAGUGCAGAAGGGGGAGAGUGGAAUUCCAUGUGUAGCGGUGAAAUGCGUAGAUAUAUGGAGGAACACCGGUGGCGAAAGCGGCUCUCUGGUCUGUAACUGACGCUGAGGCUCGAAAGCGUGGGAGCGAACAGG
rnacentral:rRNA from 1 species